GUGCUCAGUUCAGCAGCACACAUGCUAAACCUGCAACUUUACAGAGAUUAUCAUGAUUCAUGCGCAAGGAUAACAUGCGCAUUUGUGAAACAUCCUAUUAAAAA